rnacentral:rRNA from 1 species
UACAGAGGUGGCAAGCGUUGUUCGGAAUUACUGGGCGUAAAGGGCGCGUAGGCGGUUCGUUAAGUCCUGUGUGAAAUCCCCCGGCUCAACUGGGGAACUGCACAGGAAACUAGCGGGCUUGAGUUCGGGAGAGGGAAGCGGAAUUCCGGGUGUAGCGGUGAAAUGCGUAGAUAUCUGGAGGAACACCGGUGGCGAAGGCGGCCUGCUGGGUUCUGGCUGGACACUGAGGCGCGACAGCGUGGGAGCAACAGGG